GUGCGAGUUAGUUCUGCACGUUAACAGAGUCCCAUAAUUCAUGAUAAACUGGGUAUUUCCGUGAUCCCUAAACACGUUUGUUAAAGCUCCUGCAGUUAGAAAUUCUGAAAAAAAAGGAAGGUGAAAAGAAAGAAACAUGCCCCCUAAAAAGAUUGAACGCGACGUGACACCAAAUACCAACACUAAAGAAGCAAUUUAUAAAACACCUAGCCAGACCCAAAACUGUCCCUGCGGAAACAAUGCACAGGUUCAAAAAAAGGAUGAGAAAAAAGCCAAAAAAUAGUGGACAGGAACAUCACGAGGGAUGAUGACGAUCUUGAAGAUGCUUCAAGAGACUGAACUUUUACCUCUUUGAACUGUUUUUUUUGCCCUCUACUUAAUCAAGAAUUAGAUGUUACAUUGACAAGAAUAUUAACAGUAGAAAGACGGUGUAGUUUUGUCAAGGUUCUCCAAGUAUCUUAUGCGAAAGCUCCUUGUUUACUUGUUUAGGAUGUCACCAGAUAUUUUACAAGGACAUGAAUAUCAACAGUAGAUUGGUUGUUAGGUUUUUUUCUAGGUUUCCUUAUGUUUCUUACUUCGUGUGCGAAAGCUAUUUUUUCAACGUUUGCACUUUUGUAAUAGGAUGAGACUAAAAAAUGGAAUAUUCUUUACUGUGAGAUAAAGGAUGCCUCGAACUUAGAA